GUUUAAUAUUUCUUGAACAUUCUUCUGAAUUAAUUCUUCCAACCUCCUCGCUUCAUCUUCUUCUAACUUCUUCAACUCUGCUUCACGCCUGAAAGAAGGAGUUUGUCACUUCUACCUAUCUUCAUCCAUAUCACAUUGCCAAGAAGACACUCAAAGCUUAUAGCCAAGACAACUAAAACAAAGAAUCAAAUGCACAAGGAAUUAUGGUGGUUCGGGGACCCGGCAGCUUGGAAGUUUUAUUAAUGAAGGAGGGUUACAAGAUGAUCGGCCAUAUCACAACCAAGAAGUAAGAGAAAGAAAGCGUCAAAAUUCCUCCGUGAUUGCACCAGAUUCCAGUUUGUUAUUAGCCGUUAGAGAGCCAACUACCGUAAGUUAACUCAUAUUUUGUUUGUUUCAACUGCUUACAUAAACCAUGUUUUGUCAUAUUCAAGACAGUUUUCACAUAUUUCAUUAUGUAACCGCCUACUGUAUGAAUCUAAGGAGCAAUUAGAAAUUAGAAUUAAGAAAGCGCAA